CCCAGGUAUGACUUCCAGCAGCCAUUUCUGGGGUUUGGAGGUUGUUGGUUUUGCAACUCCACUGCCCCCCAAAAAAGACAAAGAGGCGAAACAUGGAGG